rnacentral:rRNA from 1 species
UAGGGAAUUUUCGGCAAUGGGGGGAACCCUGACCGAGCAACGCCGCGUGAGUGAAGAAGGUUUUCGGAUCGUAAAGCUCUGUUGUUAAGGAAGAACGAGUGUGAGUAUGGAAAGUUCAUGCUGUGACGGUACUUAACCAGAAAGGGACGGCUAACUACGUGCCAGCAGCCGCGGUAAUACGUAGGUCCCGAGCGUUGUCCGGAUUUAUUGGGCGUAAAGCGAGCGCAGGCGGUUAGAAAAGUCUGAAGUGAAAGGCAGUGGCUCAACCAUUGUAGGCUUUGGAAACUGUUUAACUUGAGUGCAGAAGGGGAGGGUGGAAUUCCAUGUGUAGCGGUGAAAUGCGUAGAUAUAUGGAGGAACACCGGUGGCGAAAGCGGCUCUCUGGGCUGUAACUGACGCUGAGGGUCGAAAGCGUGGGGAGCGAACAGG